rnacentral:tRNA from 1 species
GCGUAGCUCAAUGGUUAGAGCACUGGACUGUGGCUCCAGCGGUUGUGGGUUCGAGUCCCAUCGU